GAACUCGUAGCUCAGUUGGUUAGAGCGCUACAUUGACAUUGUAGAGGUCAGAGGUUCGAGUCCUCUCGAGUUCA
rnacentral:tRNA from 1 species